rnacentral:lncRNA from 1 species
GGCUUAAGCAUUUUGGCCGGUUGUUGGGCCCAACGAGUUAUUGUUGCUAGUGAGCUGGGUCGUUAUAUUUGGUAUCAGAGCCGGUUCACUAACUGAACAUGUGUAGCGAGUCUCGGCUGAGUCAGGGUCAGAAUGACGGGCUAGCGAGAUGAGUCUCACAUCGCCUGAUGAUCUUGGGCUGUGUGUGUAAUAGUCCCACAUCGGAUGGAAAAGGGGUUGUCAUGGUGUCCUUAGACACUAGUAAUAAUAACUAGGCUUAAGCAUUUUGGGCCGAUGGUUGGGCCCAACGAGUUAUUAUUGCUAGUGGGC